rnacentral:rRNA from 1 species
UACGUAGGGUGCAAGCGUUAAUCGGAAUUACUGGGCGUAAAGCGUGCGCAGGCGGUUUUGUAAGUCUGACGUGAAAUCCCCGGGCUCAACCUGGGAAUUGCGUUGGAGACUGCAAGGCUAGAAUCUGGCAGAGGGGGCUAGAAUUCCACGUGUAGCAGUGAAAUGCGUAGAGAUGUGGAGGAACACCGAUGGCGAAGGCAGCCCCCUGGGUCAAGAUUGACGCUCAUGCACGAAAGCGUGGGGAGCAAACAGG